rnacentral:rRNA from 1 species
GGCGCCUAAGGAUGGGUCUGCGGCCUAUCAGGUAGUAGUGGGUGUAGCGUACCUACUAGCCUACGACGGGUACGGGUUGUGAGAGCAAGAGCCCGGAGAUGGAUUCUGAGACACGAAUCCAGGCCCUACGGGGUGCAGCAGGCGCGAAAACUUUACAAUGCUGGCAACAGCGAUAAGGGAACCUCGAGUGCCAGGUUACAAAUCUGGCUGUCGAGAUGCCUAAAAAGCAUUUCAUAGCAAGGGCCGGGCAAGACCGGUGCCAGCCGCCGCGGUAACACCGGCGGCUCGAGUGGUAACCGUUAUUAUUGGGUCUAAAGGGUCUGUAGCCGGCCGGAUAAGUCUCUUGAGAAAUCUGGCAGCUUAACUGUCAGGCUUUCAGGAGAUACUGUCUGGCUCGAGGCCGGGAGAGGUGAGAGGUACUUCAGGGGUAGGGGUGAAAUCUUGUAAUCCUUGAAGGACCACCAGUGGCGAAGGCGUCUCACCAGAACGGACCUGACGGCAAGGGACGAAAGCUAGGGGCACGAACCGGAUUAGAUACCCGGGUAGUCCUAGCCGUAAACGAUACUCGCUAGGUGUCGGCCACGGUGCGACCGUUGUCGGUGCCGUAGGGAAGCCGUGAAGCGAGC